UACCUGUUUUGAGAAAAAAACAAAGAGAAACUCAGCAGAGGAAAUAUAGCAUGACAUACUAUCUAACGGAUCUGGAUCCUUUCAUCCACCUGCCUUCUUGGCUACAGUACUCAUGGCAAGCUCUGUAGGAGACACAACUCAUGGCUCAGACAGGACCUAACAGCUUUCUCUGGCUGACUCUACUCAACUUUGGUUCCCACUGACUCAGCCUGCAGAUUAUCUUUGCGGUGCUCCAUUCAUUCCUGUUGGUCAGUCUUCUCCCAAUCUUUGUGUAUUCCCUAAAAAAAUGUACCUCAUGAAAGGUAAUUGCCUGGCAAUUCAGCAUCCAUUCCUGAUGAAAACUGAGGAAAACUCAGAGAAAGUAACCCCAGCUCCACAGAAUUUUGCCAAGUUAUUUUUGCUACAUUUAAGCUUCAUACAAGGUGACUCAAGAGUUGUCUUAAUUCCUGAAAAAAAGGGAAGAUAUGUUCUUUUCCUUAUCAUUCCACUUAACUCCAUCAUGUAAUAUAUCUCCUGCUCACCAAACCAAAGACUUAAAAGAAAAAUGUCUACUCAUCUCUGAUUGAUUCACUCUUCCUCCUUGUAUCUUUCUUUCUACUAAUUCUCAAGAAAAUAAAAAGACGUUUGCUUUAAAA
rnacentral:lncRNA from 1 species